UACGUAGGUGGCAAGCGUUGUCCGGAUUUACUGGGCGUAAAGGGCGUGCAGGCGGUUUGUUAAGUGCAGGGUGAAAGCUCCCGGUUCAACUGGGAGAGGUCCUUGCAUACUGGCGAACUCGAGGGAGGCAGAGGAAAGUGGAAUUCCCGGUGUAGUGGUGAAAUGCGUAGAUAUCAAGUGGAACACCAGUGGCGAAGGCGAGUCUCUGGACAUUUCCUGACGCUGAGGCACGAAAGCCAGGGGAGCAAACGGG
rnacentral:rRNA from 1 species